UGCAGAAUCCCGUGAACCAUCGAGUUUUUGAACGCAAGUUGCGCCCGAAGCCUUCAGGUUGAGGGCACGUCUGCCUGGGUGUCACAC
rnacentral:rRNA from 1 species